rnacentral:misc_RNA from 1 species
UUCUUUUUUCAUAUAAAAUGUUGAAUAAGGUAGUUUUGUCGACAAAAUGAGCUUUACUUUUCCGAUUAUACACUAUGCUCUCAAUGCACUCAGUAACCUUAUGCCAUUGCAGAUAUGAAUGCAUUUAAAGACUUAUCAUUUAUAAAAUAUCGGAUGGGUUCAGAUAAGAUAAAUCCAGAUUAAGUUAUGCAGUUACUUAAUAUUGCGUUUUUACAAAAAAAGAAGAAGAAGAAAACACUAUAAGUGAAUAUUUCAUACAAUAAAUUUGAAGGAUUUACAACUUACAAACAAAACAAUGUGGAUAUUUUAUGUGCUACUAGGUAUUUGUAUUAUCAUGUUUACAAUGUUGAUGAACAAUUCUUGCUCAGAAUAAAGAAACGGAAUUCAAUCGGUUAUUACUUGGACGAGCCAAAACGUUACAGACGAACCGGAGAAAAGUGCAACUAAAGAUCAAUUCUUGCAACGGAUAAUCAAGGUUUUCGAUAAUGGACCACGAUUUGAUUAUUCCUUUUCACCUUUGUAUCAAAACAAGUCAUCAAAAAUCAUCGAAAGAAAUACUCGACAUCAAAACUUUGACACAGAUAGACAUUCAUCAAAUGUAGAUUGUAGUUUGCUGUUUCAACAAAACUCGAAAGAAACUGAGAGAGUUCGUAACCUGAAUACUACAAACAAAUCACCUACGUUUUGCAAUCAAACGAACGAGUGUAACAGUUUCAUUUUAUCAAGAGGAUAUAUAAUGGAUUCUUUAACCAACGAGGAGAGAGAUUUCCCAAUUGCAUAUAGUGUUCUUGUUUACGAAAGCCCAGAACAAUUCGAGAUUCUUCUUAGAGCCAUAUACCGCCCACAAAAUGCUUACUGCGUUCACGUUGACAGAAAAACCACCGAAAACGUGUUUAAUGAAAUCUCAUGCAUUGCACAAUGCUUUCUAAAUGUGAAGUUGGCAUCUAAAAGAAUGGAGGUGGAAUGGGGGAAAAUAGGAAUAGUACUAGCGGAACUCUCGUGCAUGAAAGAUCUUUUAUCAUUUUCAAAAUGGAAAUAUUUCAUGAACAUAACUGGUCGGGAGUUUCCACUGCGUACAAAUUAUGAAUUAGUGAAAAUAUUAAAAAUUUAUAAUGGUUCCAAUGAUGGUGAAAGCACAAUCAAACGGGCUAACAAAGACAGAUGGGCAAUUGGAGAAAAGCCUCCCCAUGAUAUACAUCCAGUAAAGGGAUCGGUUCACGUCACACUUAAUAGAAAGUUUGUUGAAAACCUCGUCAACAAUAGUGAAGUUUUAAAGGAGAUCUGGAAACAGAUUAUGGUGUACGAAAACCUUUUCUAUCUCGGUUUAAAAGCUGGGAAACUUCACCAAACUCUUUACCAUGUAAUGGUAAAUACAUUAGAACGAUCUGUAUAUUUGGAGUUGGAGAUCUCCCUCUUCUUGCUCGUCGACCAGAGUUCUUUGCCAAUAAAUUUCAUCUCGAUUACCAGAGAGAAUCUUUACUUUGCAUGGAUGAACUUAUAUUUAACAGGACAAGGGAUGAAUAUUACCAACGACUGCAUUUUGAUACAGAGUAUUAUAAAAACUUAAAACAUAUCCGAAACAUUGUAUAAAUGGUUUUACAUGUUUGAAGACCUAUUUGAUAAAUCAAAAAAGUGUUUUAUGC